GACGAACGCUGGCGGCGUGCCUAAUACAUGCAAGUAGAACGCACAGUUUAUACCGUAGCUUGCUACACCAUAGACUGUGAGUUGCGAACGGGUGAGUAACGCGUAGGUAACCUGCCUGGUAGCGGGGGAUAACUAUUGGAAACGAUAGCUAAUACCGCAUAAUAUUGAUUAUUGCAUGAUAAUUAAUUGAAAGGUGCAAUUGCACCACUACCAGAUGGACCUGCGUUGUAUUAGCUAGUAGGUGAGGUAACGGCUCACCUAGGCGACGAUACAUAGCCGACCUGGGAAGGUGAUCGGCCAAACUGGGACUGAGACACGGCCCAGACUCCUACGGGAGGCAGCAGUAGGGAAUCUUCGGCAAUGGACGAAAGUCUGAACGAGCAACGCCGCGUGAGUGAAGAAGGUUUUCGGAUCGUAAAGCUCUGUUGUAAGAGAAGAACGGGUGUGAGAGUGGAAAGUUCACACUGUGACGGUAUCUUACCAGAAAGGGACGGCUAACUACGUG
rnacentral:rRNA from 1 species